UUUUUGUUUUUUUUUUUAAUAAGGGCUACAAUCGCGGCACAUGGAGGUGCCCAGGCUCCCUGCAGCUGCCUGCCUAAGCCACAGCCACAGCAAUGCAGGAUUCAAGCAGCAUCCGUGACCUACACCACAGCUCACAGCAAUGCUGGAUCUUUAACCCACUGAGCGAGGCCAGGGAUCGAACCUGCGUCCUCCUGGAUGCUAGUCAGAUUCGUUAACCACUGAGCCAUGACAGGAACUCCUGUUAUUUUUAAAGUAAGGCAUCUGUCUUAAAUGUUAUCGUCAAUUUUUAAUUAUUCUCCUUUCAUCAUCUCUUAAUAUUCCUUAUGAUUCCUUGUCAUUACAUUCAAUAAAUAGCUUCAUAUAGAAUGCAUUUUACCAUAUAAAUAUAUAGUAAAUAUCUACUACAUAUAAUAAAAUACAAAUUAUGUAGAGAAUAUAAAUCCUUGUGCCCUGUGAAUCCAUCAUGGCUGGCCCCCUAUUUUAAUUCCCUGCCCAUCUUGUUUCCCUGAGGUUUUUCCAUCGGCGGCAGUGAUGUGCCCACAGCAGGUUUCCUUUCUGUAGGUGCCCUGGGCCAUGUGGGGUCUCCUGGGUACCCCAGCAUGGAGUGACUGGGGAAAUGUUCUAACCUUUUCAACAAAACGGAUUUGACAAAGGAAGUAGGUGUUUUCCUAAAAAUCUGACAAAGCUCACCUGAAAAGCGCCCACGGCCUCGUGCCUGUUUGGGGCGAGGCAGUGGGCACAUCUCUCGCUGACUUUUUUUUAAUAUAUAUAAUGAUUUUUUAUUAUUUCCACUCUAACUGGUUUACAGGGUUCUGUCAAUUUCUACUGCACAGCACAGUGCCCGGUCACACAUGCAUAUACAUCCUUUUUCUCACAUUAUCCGCCAUCGUGUUCUCACGGCCUUUCCCUCUGCCUGAGGUUGUGAUUCCUGCUGCGGCCUCUCUCCCUUUCUUGAAACAACGCCAGUGACAUGAUUCCUGCGUGUAUUCAUUUCACCCACGGCUUCGAAUCCACCGGCACAAAAGCGACAGGUGUUGCCUUGCACACUGACGCUGUAGUGCAACGGCCUUCUCUCGCUGUUUCUUGCUUUUUUGCCUCUUUUCCUUUGGCCGCACCCACAGCAUGUGGAAGUUUCCAGGCAGAGACUGAAUCUGAGCCACAGCUCUGACCUACACCACAACUGCAGCAACCCCAGAUCCUUAACCCACUGUGCCACAGCUGGAACCCCAUGGUUGUCUCUUUCCUCCUUGAGCGGUUACCAAAGAUGUGUCUCUUCCAAAAGCCUUUGAAUCAUCGGUCACCCCUAAUGAGUAUGUGUUCUCCUUCAUUACUUUGUGUUUGCUCAAGCUUGUUCACUGAUACUCAAAUUCCUAAAUUCUACAUUGCGUGUCAAUUUCUGAUAGAUGCUGUUAUUAAAAUUUCUUUAUAUAAACUGUGGAUUUGUCCAUUGCUUCUUGUAUUGGUAACAUAUUUUGCUUUUUCAAUUUUUUUUUUUUUUUUGGUUCUUUUUACAGCUGCACCUGCA
rnacentral:lncRNA from 1 species